rnacentral:lncRNA from 1 species
AUUAUUUUGAGGAUGCUAUGCAAGGGCUGGAAUUUUGAAACUUCCAUUUCGGAUUGUUUCAUGAGAAAAGCGUAGUUGAGAGCUUUGUUCUGUGGAGGCUUGAAUUAUGUGAGACAGUGAAUUACCUCAUCUUUUAAGAUCAAUAAACCACUUGGAGCUUUUGAACUAGGUUCCUCUUUCAAGCCAUGAAUAUAAUGAAAUGACACAGCAAAUUGCCUAAGGAAGAAGAUAACACUGAGAAAAGGAAAGUCUACCAACUGAAUGUCAAUACCAUUAGCAUUUUGAGGGACAACAGGAGGCACCACAGCAACUUUGUAGAUGCAUCCAAGAAUGAGAUCAACAGGUUUCGAGUGACAUCACUGAGGCAUCCCAGGCCGUGGUAAAUGUGACAUUGAAGAAAAGUGAGAAAAAAACCUGCAGUCGUCUCUUCCCACACCAGCUUGCCACCUACAGAAAAGCAAGAGAAAACAGGAUGCUUGGGAGCAAUUUUUUCUGAUAAGUCACAUAGCGGUAGAAUUUAAGGAAUAAAAAAUUAACCAUCUAUAUCCAAAAGAAUUGAAAUCAGAAUCUCGGAGAGAUAUCUGAGCUCCCAAGUUCACUGCAGCACUAUUAACACAGCCAAGAUAUGGAAACAACCUAAGUGUUCAUCAAAAGAUGAAUGGAUAAAGAAGAUGUGGUAUAUAUGUACAAUAGAAUAUUGUUCAGCCUUAAAAAAGAAGAAAAUCCUGCUAUUUGUUACAACGUGGAUGGACCUGGAGGACAUUAUCCUAAGUGUAAUAAGUCAGUCACAGAAGGAGAAAUACUGCAUGAUUCCACUUAUAUGAAGUGUGUAAAAUAGUCACACUCAGAGAAUAGAGAGUAGAAUGGUGAUUGUCACGGGCUAGGGAGAGGAAGAAAUGGGGAGCUAUAGAACAUGCAAGUAUAAACCUACGUACUAUGAGUAUAUGGUUUCAGUUAUGCAAGACGAAUAAGUUCUAGAGAUCUGCUGUGCAACAUGUGUCUAUAGUUAACAAGUCUAUGUUAUGCGCUUGAAAAUUUGUCAUAAGGGGAAAUCUCAUGUUAAGUGUACUUACCGUAAUUUAAAAAAAAGAAAAGUGAAUGGAAUGAAUAGAUAAAAGAAUGAAUGAAUAAAAUAAAACUUACUUGGAAAAAAAAAAGAUUAACCAGAAUCACUGGUCUCACCUCACUUCUUCCUCUCCCUCUACUGGAAACGAGGGCUGAAGGUGAGAGCAGCCCAGC